rnacentral:rRNA from 1 species
UCGUGAACUCAUCUUCGGGGGUAGAGCACUGUUUCGGCUAGGGGGUCAUCCCGACUUACCAACCCGAUGCAAACUACGAAUACCGAAGAAUGUUAUCACGGGAGACACACGGCGGGUGCUAACGUCCGUCGUGAAGAGGGAAACAACCCAGACCGCCAGCUAAGGUCCCAAAGUCAUGGUUAAGUGGGAAACGAUGUGGGAAGGCACAGACAGCCAGGAUGUUGGCUUAGAAGCAGCCAUCAUUUAAAGAAAGCGUAAUAGCUCACUGGUCGAGUCGGCCUGCGCGGAAGAUGUAACGGGGCUAAACCAUGCACCGAAGCUGCGGCAGCGACACUAUGUGUUGUUGGGUAGGGGAGCGUUCUGUAAGCCUGCGAAGGUGUGCUGUGAGGCAUGCUGGAGGUAUCAGAAGUGCGAAUGCUGA